rnacentral:rRNA from 1 species
CCUACGGGAGGCAGCAGUGAGGAAUAUUGGUCAAUGGACGCAAGUCUGAACCAGCCAAGUAGCGUGCAGGAUGACGGCCCUCCGGGUUGUAAACUGCUUUUAGGGGGGAAUAAAAGGGGGCGCGUGAGCCCCGUAGUGUAUGUACCAUCAGAAAAAGGACCGGCCAAUUCCGUGCCAGCAGCCGCGGUAAUACGGAAGGUCCGGGCGUUAUCCGGAUUUAUUGGGUUUAAAGGGAGCGUAGGCCGGCUUUUAAGUCAGCUGUGCAAGUCCGCGGCUCAACCGUGGAAUUGCCGUUGAAACUGGCGGCCUUGAGUGCACACCGGGCUGCCGGACUUCCUGGUGUAGCGG